rnacentral:rRNA from 1 species
GACAGAGGGUGCAAACGUUGCUCGGAAUCACUGGGCGUAAAGGGCGUGUAGGCGGGAAGGAAAGUCAGAUGUGAAAUCCCUGGGCUCAACCCAGGAACUGCAUUUGGAACUCCCUUUCUUGAGUGUCGGAGAGGAAAGCGGAAUUCCUGGUGUAGAGGUGAAAUUCGUAGAUAUCAGGAAGAACACCCGUGGCGAAGGCGGUUCUCUGGGACGGUACUGACGCUGAGACGCGAAAGCGUGGGGAGCGAACAGG